rnacentral:sRNA from 1 species
AUCGCUUCGAUGGUGAUCAGGGUACAGCAACAUUAAACCCCGAAUUUCGGGGUUUUUUGUUAUCUGCUGUGACCUAUCGGGUGCUAACUGGGCCGUAUUGGGCCCUUUUUUC